GACGAACGCUGGCGGUGUGCUUAACACAUGCAAGUCGAGCGUGAAGCCAGGGGCUUGCCCCUGGUGGAAAGCGGCGAACGGGUGAGUAACACGUGGGCAACCUGCCCCAGACACUGGGAUAACCCCGGGAAACCGGGGCUAAUACCGGAUACUCCGGACGGAUCGCAUGAUCCAACUGGGAAAGCUCCGACGGUCUGGGAUGGGCCCGCGGUCUAUCAGCUUGUUGGUGGGGUAAUGGCCCACCAAGGCUUCGACGGAUAGCUGGCGUGAGAGCGUGGCCAGCCACACUGGGACUGAGACACGGCCCAGACUCCUACGGGAGGCAGCAGUGGGGAAUCUUGCGCAAUGAGCGAAAGCUUGACGCAGCGACACCGCGUGGGGGAUGAAGGCCCUCGGGUUGUAAACCCCUUUCGGCAGGGACGAAGCGGAAGUGACGGUACCUGCAGAAGAAGCUCCGGCUAACUACGUGCCAGCCGCCGCAGUAAUAC
rnacentral:rRNA from 1 species